GACGUAGGGCGCGAGCGUUGUCCGGAUUUAUUGGGCGUAAAGAGCUCGUAGGCGGCUUGUCGCGUCGACUGUGAAAACCCGCGGCUCAACUGCGGGCCUGCAGUCGAUACGGGCAGGCUAGAGUUCGGUAGGGGAGACUGGAAUUCCUGGUGUAGCGGUGAAAUGCGCAGAUAUCAAGUGGAACACCAGUGGCGAAGGCGAGUCCCUGGACACUUCCUGACACUGAGGCACGAAAGCUAGGGGAGCAAACAGG
rnacentral:rRNA from 1 species